rnacentral:rRNA from 1 species
UACGGAGGGGGCUAGCGUUGUUCGGAAUUACUGGGCGUAAAGCGUGCGUAGGCGGUUUGCCGUGUCCUGUGUGAAAGCCCCGGGCUCCAACCUGGGAAUUGCAUGGGAAACUGGCAGGCUUGAGUGUGGCAGAGGAGGGUGGAAUUCCGCGUGUAGCAGUGAAAUGCGUAGAGAUGCGGAGGAACACCAGUGGCGGAAGGCGGCUCACUGGCCCGGUACUGACGCUGAGGAGCGAAAGCAUGGGGAGCGAACAGG